CACGGGGGGAGCAAGCGUUGUUCGGAAUCACUGGGCGUAAAGGGCGUGUAGGCGGUCAGGUAAGUGGGAUGUGAAAUGCCCCGGCUCACCCGGGGACCGGCAUCUCAUACUGCUUGGCUUGAGUACGGGAGAGGAUGUGGGAAUUCCUGGUGUAGCGGUGAAAUGCGUAGAGAUCCGGAGGAACACCGAAGGCGAAGGCAGUGUCCUGGGGAGUACCUGACGCUCAGGUGCGAAAGCCAGGGGAGCGAACGGG
rnacentral:rRNA from 1 species